rnacentral:rRNA from 1 species
CUUACCUACCCUUGACAUGGUCGGAAUCCUGAAGAGAUUCGGGAGUGCUCGAAAGAGAACCGGCGCACAGGUGCUGCAUGGCUGUCGUCAGCUCGUGUCGUGAGAUGUUGGGUUAAGUCCCGCAACGAGCGCAACCCUUGUCCUUAGUUGCUACGCAAGAGCACUCUAAGGAGACUGCCGGUGACAAACCGGAGGAAGGUGGGGAUGACGUCAAGUCCUCAUGGCCCUUAUGGGUAGGGCUUCACACGUCAUACAAUGGUCGGAACAGAGGGUUGCCAACCCGCGAGGGGGAGCUAAUCCCAGAAAACCGAUCGUAGUCCGGAUUGCACUCUGCAACUCGAGUGCAUGAAGCUGGAAUCGCUAGUAAUCGCGGAUCAGCAUGCC